GACGAACGCUGGCGGCGUGCUUAACACAUGCAAGUCGAACGGAAAGGCCCUGCUUUUGUGGGGUGCUCGAGUGGCGAACGGGUGAGUAACACGUGAGUAACCUGCCCUUGACUUUGGGAUAACUUCAGGAAACUGGGGCUAAUACCGGAUAGGAGCUCCUGCUGCCUGGUGGGGGUUGGAAAGUUUCGGCGGUUGGGGAUGGACUCGCGGCUUAUCAGCUUGUUGGUGGGGUAGUGGCUUACCAAGGCUUUGACGGGUAGCCGGCCUGAGAGGGUGACCGGCCACAUUGGGACUAAGAUACGGCCCAGACUCCUACGGGAGGCAGCAGUGGGGAAUAUUGCACAAUGGGCGGAAGCCUGAUGCAGCAACGCCGCGUGCGGGAUGACGGCCUUCGGGUUGUAAACCGCUUUCGCCUGUGACGAAGCGUGAGUGACGGUAAUGGGUAAAGAAGCACCGGCUAACUACGUG
rnacentral:rRNA from 1 species